AGAAGAAGAGAGUCAGCAACUCCUGCAGAUUGUACAUUGACCUCCAUAUAUGUGAUAAAUGCACCUUCCCUCCCCACAAUAAACACAUAAAUGUUAAGGGGGGGAGGAUCCUCUUUCACAAAACAAUGCCCUCUAUUGCAACAACAUUGUUCUUGUUUUCAACUCAGUAAUACACUUCCUGGAAUCCAUUCAUCUGCUCUGAGGGAGUUUUCAUCGCUGUGAGGAUCCAUUUGUCAUACUACGAACUGGGUAGCCCAGCGGGCUCCGGUAGCCUGGUGACCACAGUGGAUGUGACAUGAAGAUGUUGUGUGUCUCUGUUCCUGUUUGUGACCCAGACCCAUUGCCUCUCCAAAGACAGCCAGGAGUCCAAACGGUUUGCUUUUGUUUGUGGGCUAAUGUUUCAAGUGAGAAUUAAAUGCAGGCUGAACAGAA